rnacentral:tRNA from 1 species
GCCUUCAUGGUGUAACAAUUAGCACACUCGGCGCGUAUUCAGAAGAUCCAGGUUCGAAUCCCGGCGAGGGCA